ACGGUUCCACGUCACCGACCCUCCGCCUCUUGGGUUCGGGAGGUGGUUCCAUCUCAGCCGCCCUCUGCCUCUUGGGUUUGCGUGGUUUUUCUGCCUCAGCCUCCUGAGUAGCUAAGGGAGGUGUCUUGAGAUUAUCAUCCGCUGAGGGUGGAAGCGGCCCCCGCAGACGCUCCCCGCAGACGCUCGGCAGGUGUCUUGAUAUUAUCAUCUGCUGAGGGUGGAGCUGAGGGUGGAAAGGGAGUGAGCUGACGCUCGGAAGGUGUCUUGAGAUUAUCAUCUGCUGAGGGUGGAAGCGGCCCCCGCAGACGCUCGGCAGGUGUCUUGAUAUUAUCAUCUGCUGAGGGUGGAGCUGAGGGUGGAAGGGGAGUGAGCUGACGCUCGGAAGGUGUCUUGAGAUUAUCAUCCGCUGAGGGUGGAAGCGGCCCCCGCAGACGCUCGGCAGGUGUCUUGAGAUUAUCAUCUGCUGAGGGUGGAAGCGGCCCCCGCAGACGCUCGGCAGGUAUCUUGAUAUUAUCAUCUGCUGAGGGUGGAGCUGAGGGUGGAAGGGGAGUGAGCUGACGCUCGGAAGGUGUCUUGAGAUCAUCCGCUGAGGGUGGAAGGCAGGUGUCUUGAUAUUAUCAUCUGCUGAGGGUGGAAGGGCAGUGAGCUGACGCUCGGAAGGUGUCUUGAGAUUAUCAUCCGCUGAGGGUGGAAGGGGAGUGAGCAGACACUCAGGAGGUGUCUUGAGAUUAUCAUCCGCUGAGGGUGGAAGGGGAGUGAGCACACACUCGGGAGGUGUCUUGAGAUUAUCAUCCGCUGAGGGUGGAAGGGGAGUGAGCAGACACUCGGGAGGUGUCUUGAGGCUCAGGG
rnacentral:lncRNA from 1 species